UGAUUAGUGGCGAACGGGUGAGUAACACGUGAGUAACCUGCCCCUGACUCUGGGAUAAGCGUUGGAAACGACGUCUAAUACUGGAUACGAUCACCGGCCGCAUGGUCUGGUGGUGGAAAGAUUUUUUGGUUGGGGAUGGACUCGCGGCCUAUCAGCUUGUUGGUGAGGUAAUGGCUCACCAAGGCGACGACGGGUAGCCGGCCUGAGAGGGUGACCGGCCACACUGGGACUGAGACACGGCCCAGACUCCUACGGGAGGCAGCAGUGGGGAAUAUUGCACAAUGGGCGAAAGCCUGAUGCAGCAACGCCGCGUGAGGGAUGACGGCCUUCGGGUUGUAAACCUCUUUUAGUAGGGAAGAAGCGAAAGUGACGGUACCUGCAGAAAAAGCACCGGCUAACUACGUGCCAGCAGCCGCGGUAAUACGUAGGGUGCAAGCGUUGUCCGGAAUUAUUGGGCGUAAAGAGCUCGUAGGCGGUUUGUCGCGUCUGCUGUGAAAUCCCGAGGCUCAACCUCGGGCUUGCAGUGGGUACGGGCAGACUAGAGUGCGGUAGGGGAGAUUGGAAUUCCUGGUGUAGCGGUGGAAUGCGCAGAUAUCAGGAGGAACACCGAUGGCGAAGGCAGAUCUCUGGGCCGUAACUGACGCUGAGGAGCGAAAGCAUGGGGAGCGAACAGGAUUAGAUACCCUGGUAGUCCAUGCCGUAAACGUUGGGCGCUAGAUGUAGGGACCUUUCCACGGUUUCUGUGUCGUAGCUAACGCAUUAAGCGCCCCGCCUGGGGAGU
rnacentral:rRNA from 1 species